UAGUACCAUGAGGGAAAGGUGAAAAGCACCCCGGGAGGGGAAUGAAAGAGAACCUGAAACCGUAUGUUUACAAGCAGUCGGAGACCGCUUAAUAAUAAGGUCGACGGCGUGCCUAUUGAAGAAUGAACCGGCGAGUUACGAAGCCUGGCAAGGUUAAGCAGGAAAUGCGGAGCCGAAGCGAAAGCGAGUCUUAAGAGGGCGCAAGUCAGGAAGCGUAGACCCGAAACCACAGUGAUCUACCCAUGUCCAGGUUGAAACACAGGUAAAAAUGUGUGGAGGACCGAACCUAUAUCCGUUGAAAAGGGUUAGGAUGAGGUGUGGGUAGGGGUGAAAUUCCAAUCGAACGUGGAGAUAGCUGGUUCUCCCCGAAAUAGCUUUAGGGCUAGCCUCAGGGAAAAGAUUGCAGGCGGUAGAGCACUGAUCAGGAGAGGGACCUACCCGGUUACCAAACCCAGUCAAACUCCGAAUGGCUGCAAUCAUACCUGGGAGUCAGACUGCGACUAAUAAGGGCCGUAGUCAAAAGGGAAACAGCCCAGACCAUCAGCUAAGGUCCCCAAUGCCGUGCUAAGUGGCGAAGGAUGUGGCAUUUCAUAAACAACCAGGAUGUUGGCUCAGAAGCAGCCACCAUUUAAAGAGUGCGUAAUAGCUCACUGGUCGAGAGACGCUGCGCCGAAAAUGUCCGGGGCUCAAGCACGGAACCGAAGCUAUGGCAUGAUAGCAAUAUCAUGGGUAGGGGAGCGUUCUUAUAAGGAAGAAGCAUGACCGGAAGGACAUGUGGACGAAUAAGAAGUGAGAAUGCCGGUAUGAGUAUCGAAAAGAAAGGUGAGAAUCCUUUCCACCGAAAGCCCGAGGGUUCCUGAGCAACGAUCGUCGACUCAGGGUAAGUCGGGACCUAAGCCGAGGCGAGAAGCGUAGGCGAUGGACAACAGGUUGAAAUUCCUGUACCGGAUCAAGUCGAUCGAGCGAAGGAGCGACGCAGGAGGGCACAUGAUCGCGCGGCUGGAAGAGCGCGUCCAAGUGCGUAUGUUGCUGCAGAGGCAAAUCCCUGCAGCAGAAAGCAGAGACAUGAUGGGGAGUUAAAGGAAACUUUGACGAACUCAUGGAUCCCACACUGCCAAGAAAAACUUCUAGCGAGACAAGAUCCGCCCGUACCGUAAACCGACACAGGUAGGCGGGGAGAGAAUCCUAAGGUGCGCGGGAAAACCCUCGUUAAGGAACUCGGCAAAUUGCAUCCGUAACCUAGGGAGAAGGAUGGCCCCCGGUCAGUGAAGAGCAGAAACGCUCAGAGCUAAAAGGGGCGGCAGAAAAGAGGCCCAAGCAACUGUUUACCAAAAACACAGGUGCCUGCGAAAGCGAAAGCUGAAGUAUAGGUGCUGACGCCUGCCCGGUGCCGGAAGGUUAAGGAGAGAAGUUAGCAAAAGCGAAGCAUCGAACUGAAGCCCCGGUGAACGGCGGCCGUAACUAUAACGGUCCUAAGGUAGCGAAAUUCCUUGUCGGGUAAGUUCCGACCCGCAUGAAAGGCGUAAUGAUUUGGGCACUGUCUCAACGAGGGGCCCGGUGAAAUUGAAAUACCUGUGAAGAUGCAGGUUACCCGCGACUGGACAGAAAGACCCCAUGGAGCUUCACUGCAGCUUGAGAUUGAAUCCCGGUGACAGAUGCACAGGAUAGGUGGGAGGCGCCGAAGCAUUGCCCUAGGGCGGUGCGGAGCCGAUGUUGGGAUACCACCCUUCUGUUGCUGAGAUUCUAACGCGAGGAGUAACGACCCUGCGGACCCUCUCAGGCAGGCGGUUUGACUGGGGCGGUCGCCUCCGAAAGAGUAACGGAGGCG
rnacentral:rRNA from 1 species